rnacentral:misc_RNA from 1 species
AAGUCGUAACAAGGUUUCCGUAGGUGAACCUGCGGAAGGAUCAUUAAUAGUUGUAUGGCACACCGCAAGGUGCGCUAUCUGUACCGUCAGGUACACUGUACCGCAAGGUACAACUGGAACCUCCAGGUUCCUUCAUCCUUGUGCACGGAGGAAGGUUCUGUUUGUGCGGCGUAUGCUAUAUGUGUAAUGUUAGAUGCGACUUUUACAUAUCAUCGUAUCAUCGUAUCGCUGUUACAUAUUUGCAUGUGUCUCGUAUUGGCAGUCCUACAUCCAUACCUUACUUAUAUAUCAGUAUAGUAAUGAGAAUUUCUACUAGUUACAACUUUCAACAGUGGAUCUCUCGGCUCUU